UACGUAGGGUGCGAGCGUUGUCCGGAAUAUUGGGCGUAAAGAGCUCGUAGGCGGUGUGUCACGUCGGCCGUGAAACCUGCAGCUUAACUGUGGGCGUGCGGUCGAUACGGGCAUCACUGGAGUUCGGCAGGGGAGACUGGAAUUCCUGGUGUAGCGGUGAAAUGCGCAGAUAUCAGGAGGAACACCGGUGGCGAAGGCGGGUCUCUGGGCCGAUACUGACGCUGAGGAGCGAAAGCGUGGGGAGCGAACAGG
rnacentral:rRNA from 1 species